GACGAACGCUGGCGGCGUGCUUAACACAUGCAAGUCGAACGAUGACGACCGAGCUUGCUCGGUCUGAUUAGUGGCGAACGGGUGAGUAACACGUGAGCAACCUGCCCUUCACUCUGGGAUAACCUCGGGAAAUCGGGGCUAAUACCGGAUAUGAGCUCCUGUCGCAUGGCGGGUGUUGGAAAGUUUUUCGGUGAAGGAUGGGCUCGCUGCCUAUCAGUUUGUUGGUGAGGUAGUGGCUCACCAAGGCGAUGACGGGUAGCCGGCCUGAGAGGGCCACCGGCCACACUGGGACUGAGACACGGCCCAGACUCCUACGGGAGGCAGCAGUGGGGAAUAUUGCACAAUGGGCGAAAGCCUGAUGCAGCGACGCCGCGUGAGGGAUGACGGCCUUCGGGUUGUAAACCUCUUUCAGCAGGGAAGAAGCGAAAGUGACGGUACCUGCAGAAGAAGCGCCGGCUAACUACGUG
rnacentral:rRNA from 1 species